rnacentral:lncRNA from 1 species
AUUUCUUUUGACAAGCUUGUUCAAAAUCUAACCCAGCUUAGAGAACUCUAUCUGAGGUGGGUGAAUAUGUCAUUGGUUGAACCCAAUUCCUUGAUGAAUCUGUCUUCUUCUCUGUCAUUACUCGUACUCUAUUCAUGUGGAUUGCAAGGAAAAUUCCCAUCCUCAGUGAGAAAAUUUAAGCACCUCCAGUACUUAGAUCUUAGAUACAGCAAUCUUACAGGUUCAAUUCCAGAUGAUCUUGGACAACUCACUGAGUUGGUUUCAAUUGAUCUCUCUUUCAAUGCCUAUUUGAGUGUAGAACCAAGUUCUUUUGACAAGACUCUUCAAAACCUAACCAAGCUAAGAGGACUCCGUUUGGGUUAUGUAAAUAUGCCUUUGGUCAUACCUAAUUCCUUGGCGAAUCUGUCAUCAUCCUUGUCAGCUCUUGCCCUUUGGGGUUGUGGAUUGCAUGGGAAGUUCCCAGAUAACAUCUUUCUCCUACCAAACCUUGAAGUGCUUGAUUUGACAUACAACGACGACCUCACUGGCUCUUUUCCUUCAUCCAAUGUGAGUAAUGUCCUCCGGUUAUUGGGUCUUACUCGUACGAGAAUUUCAGUUCAUUUAGGAAAUGACUUCUUCAAUAAUCUAAAGUUGUUGGAAGUUUUGGUUCUUAGAAAUUCUAAUAUCACAAGGUCAAAUCUGUCCCUUAUUGGUGAUCUCACACAUCUCACUCGUUUAGAUCUCGCAGGUAGCAAUUUUAGCGGUCAGAUUCCAUCAUCAUUUACAAAUCUUGUGCAACUUCAAUCCUUGUAUCUUGAUAACAAUAAUUUUUCAGGUAGGAUUCCAGAGUUUUUAGGUAACCUUACCCACCUUGAAAAUUUAGGUUUAUCCAAUAAUCAACUCUCAGGACCUAUCCCUUCUCAAAUAAGUACUCUUUCAUUGAGAUUGUUUGAUUUGAGCAAAAACAACUUGCAUGGUCCAAUCCCAAGUUCAAUUUUCAAACAAGAGAACCUGGUAGCCCUUUCUCUUGCAUCCAACAGUAAAUUAACAGGUGAAAUUUCUUCCUCUAUUUGCAAGCUUAAAUUCCUUCGACUCCUUGAUUUGUCCAACAACAGCUUGAGUGGUUUUAUACCACAAUGUUUAGGGAACUUUAGCAACUCUCUCUCAGUUUUGAAUCUUGGCAUGAAUAAUCUUCAAGGCACUAUCUUUUCACAAUUUUCAAAAGGGAAUAACUUGGGAUAUCUCAACCUAAAUGGCAAUGAAUUGGAAGGGAAAAUACCAUCGUCUAUCAUCAACUGCAUAAUGCUGCAAGUUCUUGAUCUUGGUGACAAUAAAAUUGAGGACACAUUUCCCUAUUUUCUAGAAAAGCUUCCAGAGCUGUAUAUCCUUGUCCUAAAGUCCAAUAAACUCCAUGGUUUUGUGACUAGUCCGACUACUAAAAAUUCAUUCUCCAAAUUGCGGAUCUUUGACAUCUCCAACAAUAAUUUGAGUGGACCUUUACCAAUAGGGUAUUUCAAUAGUUUUGAAGCAAUGAUGGCCUAUGAUCAAAAUCCGUUUUACAUGAUGGCCUAUUCCAUAAAAGUGACAUGGAAAGGGGUUGAGAUUGAGUUCGAGAAAAUCCAAAGCACUCUUAGAAUGCUUGAUUUGUCAAACAACAGUUUCAUCGGAGAAAUUCCAAAGAUGAUCGGAAAGUUUAAAGCAGUUCAACAACUCAACCUCUCUCAUAAUUCCCUUACAGGCCAUAUUCAAUCAUCAUUUGGAAUGUUGACCUAUCUGGAAUCAUUAGAUUUGUCUUCGAAUUUGCUUACCGGAAGGAUUCCAGUACAGUUGGCAGAUCUAACAUUUCUUGCAGUCUUAGACCUUUCACAUAACAAGCUUGAGGGGCCCGUACCCGGGGGAAAGCAGUUCAACACGUUCAAUGCAAGCUCAUUUGAAGGAAACUUGGACUUAUGUGGAUUCCCCAUGCCAAAAGAAUGCAAUAAUGACGAGGCACCACCAUUGCAGCCAUCAAACUUUCACGAUGGAGAUGAUUCAAAAUUCUUUGGAGAAGGAUUUGGAUGGAAAGCUGUGGCAAUAGGGUAUGGAAGUGGGUUUGUGUUUGGAGUCACAAUGGGAUACGUUGUGUUCAGAACAAGAAAACCAGCAUGGUUUCUGAAAGUUGUUGAAGAUCAAUGGAAUCUGAAGGCAAGAAGAACGAAGAAGAAUGCUCGUAGGAAUGGUGCAAGAAGAAACUAAACAACGGAGCUAGUAACAUGAGGUAAGUUCUGCAAGCAUUAUUUGACAUCUUAAGGUUUUACGUGCAAGAGUUUAUGCUAUUUUUUCUGUGCUAUUUCCUUUGAUUAGUCUUUUCUUUCGCUUUCGGAUUCAUUAAAUAAAAAAAAUUAUUUGUAUGUUUCUCUAUUGCAGUGAAGUUAGGAAUAAACAUUCUCGCUACCUUAUGAGAUACCAAGUGGAGGUUGACAUGAGAAGAACGCUAGAGUGGCAGAUUCAGAGAAUUGGAUUCCUCUUUCGUACUGCUUCUGUUUUCCUUCAUGGUUGUGUUUUAAUUUUAUUUUUUUUAUUAGUUGUAUUCGAUACAUGGAAUAUUUUCGAGUCACUUAAUAUGCAUGUUUUUAUUUAUUUAUUUUUAUGGUUAGUUUUGAUGCAAGGUUUGGGUGUUACAUCUAUUAAAAAAGAACCAAUGCAUGCAGCAGUUGUUACAACUUUACUUCAAUCACCCUUUCUUAGUGUAUUCAAACUUUACUUCAAUCUCUAAAUAAACUAUUUAUUUAUUUAGGAGUGCGCUUUAACAUUUCGAUUCAUUAACAAUUUAUCAAAGUUAAUCCAUACAACUAAAAUACAUGUAAACUGCAUAUAUAUGUCGGACAGCUUUGCAAUAUUGAAAAAAGAAAAUACAGAAAACAUUCGCAUUAUCAUUUUCUUUAUGGUAUCAGAGCUCUAGUUCUGAGAACCUAGCUAGGAAUCCAUACAACUAAAAUACCUCAUGCCUGGUGACGAAGACCAAAAGCUUCUUGAAUAUAACAGGCGCUGUCGAACUCUUUCAAGACCUCAGAACCAUGGGAGAACUCCAAUCAUCCACCUUUUCUCCAUCACUCCGAUCAACCCGGCGCUGUCCUCGUUUCACAACAAAUUCUAGUGCUCUGUUCCUUGCCUACUUUUGGGCAGUGUUAUCAUGCAAACAGAAGCGUUGGCAAAGUAAGUAGUUCCAAAUAUUUCUAGCAUAGAUUUAUGCAUGCAAAAUAGUAAUGUGAAUAAGCAACCUUGUUAAAGCUUAGCUCCUGGAAAUGGAAUGCCGCCGCAAAUUGCAACUGGAAAAAAAAAACCAAAUAUGUAAUUUGGUGGCUAGUCUUGUUAGGUUUCGGAAUCAAAACAAUUAAAGCUUGAUUUGUAAAUCAUAUUUUAGAGAUUUAGUUUGAUUGUAGUUUUUGUAAUUAAAUCCUAAAAAUUAGUUGCUAGUCUGUCAGUUUACUUAUUUAGACAAGAUCUUUUCUAUGUAAACUAUAUAUAUGCAUUGUAGAAAUCACACAGAAUAAUAAAACUGCCUUGCUGUUCUUCAAACUCCCACAGUCAGCUUUCUUGUUUUCUUCAAGUCUUGCAAACGAGACCGACUCGUUCCUCGUAAUGAUGCAGCUGUCGACCAUCAACCUCGCACCUACAAGAAAUGGUGAGGCAUAUUACAGCACUUACAGUAUUAAACGGGUAGCAACGAUGAAGCGAAGACGAGGCCGGUGCCAGAAACAGAGCAUUUCACUCAUAACCAUGGACUUGGAUUGCAAUGAGAUAACAGCGAAGGAUUCAAAAGCCUUAUUUAGAACAUGCAUGUUUGUGAGUAAUUCAUAUUAAGAAUUUUUCUGCUUCCAGUUGCUACAGUAAUUUAGAAAAUGCAUGGACGUUUACCGGUUUCGAUUGUUAUUGGAUAAGCAUGAAUACGGUAAUCGAGAUUAAGCAAUGAAAUUGAUUGAGAAUAUUAACAAUCAACGAAAAUCAAUUAAGAUUCAGACUACAAAUAGAAAUAAAAUAUGAAAAUCUAAUUACCUACGAUUCCUUCUUCGCUUCGUUCUCCCAUUUUUAUGUAUUCAGCAUCAAUAGUGUCAGCAUCAGGUAAGAAGGUUGAGAUAUGCGCAUACUUACCUUAACCAAAGUCGAGGUGGGAAGAAUGCCUGCUUCUGAGAUUCACAUUAUAAGAACAAGAAGAUAUUCAAAGAGAGGAAGAAGAACAAGAGAAGCCUUGAGGCUUGAUAGUGCUGAAAUUGUGUUAUGAUUUGCCUUAAUUGUUGUUAUAUACAAGUGUUUUUUUUUAUAUAGUUCAAUGAAUCCUACCAAACUUAAAAUACUAAAUUGAAAAUAUUAAACUGAAUAUAUAUGAUUACAAUAAUUUAAUACACAGGUCUCGGGCCUUUAUUAAAUUAUGCUGGAUCAGACUAAACUUCAUGCCUCAACACACAUGUCAUCCAUCAAUGAACUUUUUCUUCUGAUCUUGUCCUCCAUGGAAUCUAAUUAGAGAACAAAAUGUAUCUAAUAGCAAGGAAAAAGUUGCUUAAAUUGCAAACUAAUUACAUGAGAAAUAAAAGUGAAGAAAUUCAUGCAUAUGAUUAAAUAAAAACAGGAAUUAAGAAAUUUUUAAAAAUAAAUUUUCGGGCAAAAUAAUUCGAGACAUUAUAAAUAAACACGGUAAUGUUGAGGGUUGGAUUUAAUUGAAGAGAACAAUACACUUAAAGGAAAUGGGGCCUAAAUGCAAAUAAGAGAAAUUAUGGAGUAUAAAUACUCUUCUCCUCAUAAAAAAUCUGCAAGAACCAUAAGGAAAGAAAAUAGGGAGUUUUGUAUCCAUUCUUGCAAAAUCAAGAGAGAAACACUAAAAUUUCAAGAAUCCAUUUAAAAUUAAGAGUUUAUAGAUGGAAUAAACACUUGUGAGUAAGGGAUUAACAAGAAAAAUUGAAGUCCUCAAGGGGCGUGGCGUGAUGGCAAAGGGGUUGAGAUCUGCACAGUAGGUCUCGAGUUCGAGUCAAGGCGUGUACCUCUUGUAAGAGCCUGGGACAGUCGGGGUUUUACUCGCUCACCUGGGCCCAUAAAGUGCGCUUUCCGGGGGGUGGUGUUUCCUCAAAUCCAAAAAAAAAAGAAAAAAAGAAAAAGAAAAAGAAAAAUUGAACUAGAAGAGAAGAAGGAGGGCAGACUGUCAUUAAAAAAGAAAGGAGGGAGUUGAAAAUCUUUAACUGGUUGAAAAUCAAAAUCUUAAUUUGUAUCGGGUAUGGUGUUCUAAACAUAAUCUUAAAAUUCAUUUCAAAUUCGAUAAUGAAUCGAUGCCUUGAUAUUGAAUUAUAGGUUAGGGUUCUUAUACAUGAAAUGGGGAAAAAGUAUUUGUUGUUAAAAUUAAGUUAAUUCAUGUGUGGUAUGUGAUGGGGGGCGUGAAACCCAAAUAAUUUACCCAUAAAAUAUAGUUUGUGAAAGUAUUGUGUGAAGGGAAGGGGGUGACGAAUUUGGACAGACUUGUCUCCUAACUUUCGGUGAGAUUUUGGAUAAGAGGAUGAAAUAAUUAGGAUCGGAUUCCUUCAUGGACAUUGUAGUUUUGGAUGUUAGCUAACCAAGGAAACUAGUCUUGCUCAAUUUGGAGCUGUAGAACUCCAGUUAUGGGUCACCAACCAAUACUGAGUCGUGACUGAUUCUGUAGGGCAGUAAGACUGAUUAGUUGAUGAGCAAUUUUGACUUUCUUGGAGGUAGAAUUGGGUUCUCCUUCCUUUAGAGAACUUGUAACCUCGUGUCUUAGCUUUCCAACGAGAUCAAUAUCACUUGAAAUGGAGUUCUAGAACUCUGUAUAUAGUUAAAAAUCUGAGGAGUGUUCAGACAGUAACAAUUGGACAGUAACAAUUCAAUGUCUAGACAGUAAUAAUUCAAUUUCUAGACAGUAAUCGUUAGACAGUAACAGUUGGACAGUAACAGUUCAAUGUCUAAACAGUAACAGUUCAAUGUCUAGACAGUAACCGUUGGACUUUCACGUGAAUACUAUAUGUAAGAAUAUAAAAGAAUUGAGUCAUACGAACACUUGCACAUUGAGAUACUAACUCUGAAAAUAUACAUGAUAUAUGUAUGUAUGUUAUUAUGAGAAAAUGAACAUGCAUAGAAAGUAACAUAUGAGUAAUAAAUGAAUAUGGAUUCUCUAUAAUAUCGGCUUGAAGGAAUCAUAACCAAAAACUUCCUUGUGAUUCAGGAGGAGCAACCAGGAUUGGAUCUUCUAUUAGGGGAGGUCACGAGACAGACGGAGCAGGUGCGUGAUUUUCCCUCCUAUUUGCACUUCUACAAUUUAAAAUACUUCUGGUGAAUGCAAUUACAAUAAAUAUCGUAUUCAAUGUAAAUAAAGUCUAGUGUAUUUACAAGAUUAGGUUCGACUAAUGGCAUCCGUGAUAGGAUUGCCGGGAUAUGAAUCACAGGAUUAGGUUCGGCUAAUGGCAUCCGUGAUAGGAUUGCUGGGAAAUGAAUCACAGGAUUAGCUACGGCUAAUGGCAUCUGUGAUAGGAUUAGCUUCAAAUUGUUGGGAAAUGAAUUACAAGAUUAGCUACGAUUAAUGGCAUCCGUGAUAGGAUUGCCGAGAAAUGAAUUACAAGGGUAGCUUGGGCUAAUGAUGUCCGCGUUGGGAUGCCCGGGCACGAUUGAUAAGACUCGAUUUGUAAAAAGUAUCCGUGUUCGAAUGACCUGGGGAAAUUGAUAAUUGCCUAAAAAUGUCCAUGUUGGACUUUGCAAGGUUACCCGGUUCAUGCAAGUAAAUAAGAGUAUUCAAAUUAAAAAUAUGCAAAUGAGUGUUAAUUGGGUUUAAAUGAAUUACAAGUAAAAUAUAUGUUGUCUGUUAGAAUUUGUAUGGAUCCGAUAGAAAAUUUAUAUGUCAUUCAUAUACAUUACAUGAGCAUAUAUAUAUAUUUCUUUUAUCAACAUAAUGGUAUGUUUAUUUAUGUAACAGGUCCAUCAAAUAUCCAGGGAGAUCAUUAGUUUAUGACUCUACUUUGUCAAGCUUAUGUAAAUAUUUAACUUAAACAUAAUGGAAUUAACGCGUUUAUAUAUUAUGCUUUUGUGUAAACCUUGAUGUAUUUAUAAAAGUUCAGUUUAACAUGUAGUACUUUAGUUAUCUUGUAAUUAACCCUUUUCAAAUGUUUAAGAACACUUAUUAUGUUGUAAAUGCUCUCCUUGCAUGUUAGUAUUCAUUUUUCUUUUAAAUUUUAUGAUAUGAUAUGUGGGCUAUUGUCGCAAGUGUGCGGCGUCGCGGCGAUCGCCCACCAUCCAAGAAAAAAAGAAAAAUGGAAUGUGGUGUAUUCCUGGCAAAUGUGUAGAGACAAAGAAUUCUUGUCUCCUAUCAGUAAAAAAUGAAUAGGAGUUGCCACCUAGUAUUCUGGUCACUAGGAACCCUAACUGGUCUCAGAGAUCGGGUACGGAGACUAGUUGCGUAAAGGGAAGGUAUUAGCACCCCAAAUACGCCCUACCUAAGAUAGGCUGCAUUGUUUUGUCUGAUAAAAUCUCAAGUCAUGUUGUGGUUUCUAAUUGUUGGUCUGUCUAAGGUUCAAGACAAGCCCCCCUUUAGAAGGAGGUUCUUAUCUUAAUGCGAUAAAAUCUAACCGUUCUAUUGUCCAAAAAAUAAUUAAAUAUCCAGAAUAUGCAUUAUGUGUAAUGUCGUACCCCAGAUACUAACAGAUAAACAAAAUAAAAUUUUUGUUGUUUUUGAAAUUUUGGCCAAUGUUCUCUUGACUUUAAUAAACUGGUUAUUAAAGCCAAAAUGCAUGAUGAAACAUUGUUUUAUCAAAUUUUUUUUUUGUGUAUGAAAAACACACUAUGAUUUUGUUAGCUUUGAGACACUUGGCCGAAUGCACAAAAACAUUUUUUAUUUUUUCAAUUUUUUUCGUAUUUUUGGAAGUUUUGACGACAACCAGGUAUUUUAAUAUCAUAUUUGUAUUUUUACCAUGUAAAAUACUGCCCGAUAUUAAUCAAAAUAACAUAAAAACUACGCGGAAAAAAAAAUAAAAUGCUGAAACAAAUAUUUUUAAUUUUUUUUCUUGAAAUGGGCCGGAUCAGGCCCAAAUGCAUAGGUUGGGCCAAACAGCCCAACUAUAUGGGCUGGGCUCGGCCCAGCCCACAUUAGCUAGUUACUGUGCAUGAGCACAGUAAUCAGCUUCUCCCCGCCUACAGACGUGCACUGUGCACGUCUUGCGUGGCGAGGGAAGAAGUGAAGGCAAAAUAAAAAUGGCGGAGGGCUUACCUGGAGUGGCGGCGACGCUGGUGGCUGCUGGCGGCGAAGGCACGGUGGCCGGCGGUUUCUCCUCCUUCUUCCUCUGUGUUUUCUUCUUCCUUCGCUGUCUGUUUUUUCUUUCUUUUUCUUUCCUUUUCCUCUCGUCUUUUCUCUUCUCUUCUCUUCUCUUCUCUUCUCUUCUCUGUUCUGUCUCUCUCUCGUCCCUCUGUCCCUCUCUUUUUUUCAUUUGUUCUCGGUCUUUCGGUCUCUCUCUUCCCUCUCUUCCCUGUUCUGUUUUUCUUCCCCUUCCCCUGUUUUUAUAGGCAAAAACAGGGGAGGGAGACGUGGCUGGGGCGGCCACUGUGCUGCCGCCCCGAACCUCCCAAGGGGUAUGUCCCCUUCCUUCUUCCACCACGUGGCAAGCAAGUGGGUUGUUGGCGUCUUUUUUAGAGAGAGCUGGCGGUGGAACAAAAGAAAAAAUCUUCUUCUUCUUCCCCUGCUUCGCGUGUCCAAGGGAAGAAGAAGACAUGGGUGCCGUUCCAAACGGCACCGUUUCCAGCCUUUCUCUUGUUAUUUUAUUUUUUUAAUUUUUUUUUAUAACAGUGCAUGAAACGGCGUCGUUUUUCCCAAAACGCGUCGUUUCAUUUAAAUGGAUUUUGGCGCCAAAAACACGUCAGAUUCAAAAUCAGGCCUUCAAUUUGCGCGCGUUUUGCUUUUUGGUCCUUGGUCUCGGAUUUCUUCAAUUAAGUCCCUAAUUGGCCAUCAAACUUCAAUAUUUAUGCAAUUAAUCCCCUGAUUUGAUCAAAUUAACUCUAAAAAAAUAUAAUUUGAUCCCAGAACUUUAAUUACUUUAAAUUAAAGCCCAAAUUAACUCCAAAAUCAAUUUUUCUUGCAAUCAAAACCUCCAUAAAUUCAAUUAAACCUUCAAUAAAAUUUAAUUGAGUCCAUAAAUAUCUGAUUUUGGACUUUUCUUCCUCAAAUUCAAUUUUUUUUGUCAAUAGGGUUGUCAUCAGUUAACAAAAUAUUGCCAAAUUUUAAUCUUUGUAUUUUUUAACCUCCUCAACCAAUUUUUACCUAUUUUUUGGGUGCGCUGACAUCUUUUUUUCACUGUUUAUAUUUUUUGAUAGUAUAUUUUUUUUGUAUUUUAUUAUUUUUUGUGCGGGACCAAAAAUGAGUUACAACAGCUAUGUUCAUAUUGAACUUACUCGUAGGAUAUAUAUAUUGUGUGGAUUGUAUGAGGUGUUAAAUUAUGAUGAUUGAAAUAAUUAAGGUCCGGAAUUAUGGGACUUAUGAUGAUAAGUUGAUUGAGUAAAUUGAUAGUAGUUGAUAACUUGAGAUGUUGUAAAUACAAAUGAAACUCUGCCGAAUUUUUGGUAGAUUUCAAAAAAAAAAUACCCUCAAAUUAAGAGCAUAUAUUGAGAUCUUUUAACGUUGAUCAAGUCGUACAAUCGGGUCUGUUACAUACAUUUUCUACAGAUGUAAAUAUGAAGGGAUAUCAUCUUUACGUAUCUUUACCUAAAAUUGUUAAUGAACUAUAUAUGAAUAGUCCGAAAUGAUUUCCACAAAAAAUGUCAAUUAUGGAAAUUAAUAUUGCCGUGUUUCCAACACUAUUGUUUAGUCAACUAAGGGACCUACUUGUAUAGAAAUAUUUGCAAUUGAAUAAUUCAACCUUCAAUUCCAUAUUCAGCACCAAAUGAAGAUUAGCACAUAAACUUGCUGCAAAUGUAAAUGUAGGGAUAUUAUCUACUCUCAACAAAAAUCAUGGAGCCACUUCAUUUGUGAACAAUAAGAAACCGUUUGCUCUAUAGGCAACUCAUGCAAAAGAAACAAAGAAGAGUUCGCUAGCAACAAUAAAAUAAAUUUAAAUUAAAUAGCUUGCUCUUGAAUUAUGGAAAUGUCUUGUAGGACUACCACUUCAAAUCAUAAACUCAUUUAAAAUGGAGUAGGUAGUAACAUGCUAAUUAUUUUAAUGGCAUUUUAGUCAUUAAUAUUACUCUAAAGAGAAAUGGAUGAUCAAUUCAAUAAUCUCACAGUUUAAGUGAUCAAAACAAUAGAAGGGUAUUCAAUAAUAGACACAGUAAUUUCUUGUUUACUUUAUCUACGUUUUGGUGCUUAAAUCAUGCAUGGCCACAUACCUAAUUAAGAUGUGAAUUAACUACGUUUGUAAAUUAUUAAAAAACAAUUCUUUCUAUUGAAAAUGUUGUUCCUCGAUUUCUUAAUUUUUGGAAAUUAAAGUCAGUAUGUAAAGCACUCGUAAUUUGUUUUCCCUAAAAAUAUUUUCAUGCAAAAUUCCACCUCCGAUAUCUAUAAAAUUAAUUAUUAGCACCAUUAAUUUGCGGGGAAAUUAUCUAUAAAAGUUUUUUAUCUCCUUAUCUAGAGAUCUUGUUGAGUGGAGUUUGUCCCUUACAUGUUCUGCUCUUAGAGUUAGUCUUCCAACCAGGAUAAGACUCUUCCUUAAACUUUGAAGUUUCACUGUUAUCUUCCCUCCAUUGUUUUCGAUAUUAUUGGUAACAGACUGUUACACAAUGCACUGAUACCAACAGCUGAAACUAUAUACGUAACAUCCCUUCAAUGUGUAACUUUGUUAGUUCAUUUCACUGCGAACCUCCAUAUAUCAUUCUUGUCUGCCAUAGACUCUCUCUCUAAAUUCUAAACCGAUUGCCAGGUUGUUCGCACAAAGUUUUUUGACAUGCCACCUUUGACUGUCUCGGAAGCUAUUGAGCAGCUGGAAAAUGUGGAUCAUGAUUUCUAUGGUUUCAGGAAUGAAGAAACUGGUAUGAACUUAUGCAGCUUGUUUCAAUUUCUUUUUCACUUAUCCUCUGCAAUCUGUUAACUAAUAUAGGUACUGAAUUGCUGUGUGCUUGAUUCCAGGUGAGAUAAAUAUUGUUUACAAAAGAAAAGCUGGUGGAUAUGGUCCCAUCAUACCUAAAGGAAAUUACGAAGCUGAGAGAUUAGAGCCUUUGGUGGUAGAACCAGCUAGAGAACCAUCAUUGGCAGAGUAACCAGGUCUAGAAAAUAAGAUCUUCCUAUAAAAUAGAUUACAAAAUCCACGUUUUCGGUAAUGCUGUAUAUACAAUGCUAAGGCAUCUAAGAGAGCAUGAUAUAGGGUUCGAGACCUGGUGAACGCACACUAACGAGAUAUCAUGACAUGAUUGUACUGGUUAUUAGAUUUUGGAAGAUUAGGUUCAGUGUGCUGUGUCCCAACUUUUACUGGAAUGAGAAGACAAAUCUUGCAAUUUAUAAGAUGGAAAUCAAUUCGAUAAAGUCUUCUUUCCAUGUGGUCGAGUCUUAACUAUUUUCUCUUUCCUGUGGAUUUUCACUUCUUUGUUAUGUAUGGAAAUCAAUUCGAUAAAGUCUUCUUUCCUGGUGUAUUUUCUCUUCAUGCUAUGCAUGAUUCUUUGCUUGCUGCCAUGUUUGCUUUUCCUUAGUUGUGAAUUCUCUCUGGCGAAGUUUCGCGCGAGCCUACUUCUGUGAAACUUCUGCUUAUGUUCAAACAAGUUAAAAUUGGAUUUCUUACAACAUGUGCCCCAUCUGACCCAGUUGAGGUCGAGACUUGCAUUUGCCUUCCAGAGCGGUGGAAAGCUUCUUGGUGAAAGAGAUGUCCAUUAUCCCGGUUAUGGAAAUGUCAAGUGGAGGUUCAGUAAAGGGCUUAUAUGUGGAUAAAACAGCUCCCCUCCCUGUUAGCAAUACUAUCAUGAAGUUUACGAGCAUAUAUUGUUAGGAUACUGGCAUGCAAACCCGACAAGAUAAAAGGCAAAGGAUAGGAUAAAAUGAGAAAUUAGACACACAAGAAUUUACGUGGUUCACCCAAUUUGGCUACGUCCACGGACAAGUAUAGAAGGAUUUUACUAAGUAAUGUGGGAAUUACAACCUCUCUUCAACAAUAGGAGAACAACUGAAAUCUCUCAAUUACUAGGAGAAAACACCUCACUUACUCUCUCAUAAAUACCUCACAACUUUGUGGGAUUACUCUCUCUUCACUCUCUCUACUUGCUCUCAAGUUUCUCUCUUGUGGUGUGCAUCUAAUGCUUGGAUGCAUUGCCUAUUUAUAGGCAAGCAUCCAUGCAAGAGACAAGGGGCACCAAUUGGUGCUGCAAGUGGCACCGAAUUGGUGCCCAACAUUGUUGACUUUGCCAACAAUGCUAGCUGGCUUCACAUUCUCCCACUUGAAGACUUUGAUGAUUUAAUCAAGUCUUCACACUUGAUCAUCUGUGAUUCUUCUAUCCUUUCUAUACUUGUCAUCUUCAUGCUGCUUACGUUUCUGUUAGGCCAUAAGAGGAUCUGCACCAUAUAUACUUGUCAGUGUUGACUGGUUUGGUCAAAGCAUCUGCUGGGUUUUCCUUUGUGUGAACCUUCUGAAAAUCCACACUUCCAUCUUCCACCACUUCGCGAACAAAGUGAUACUGAACAUCUAUGUGUUUUGUUCUUGAAUGAAACGCUGGAUUCCUUGCAAUAUGCAAGGCACUCUGACUAUCACAAUACAAAAGAAUCUUCUCUUGUUUGUGCCCGAGCUCCUCCAUAAGUUUCUUCAUCCAUAUUGCUUCUUUACAAGCUUGUGUAGCUGCCAUGUACUCAGCUUCUGUUGUGGAUAAAGCUACAACAGUCUGAAGUUUAGAGACCCAGCUCACAGCUCCUCCUGCAAUUAUGAACACAUAGCCUGUAGUGGAUUUUCUUUUCUCAAGGUCGCCAGCAAAAUUUGAAUCAACAUAACCUCUGAUAGUAGAUUCUGAUCCUCCAUAACAUAAUGCGGCAUCUGAGGUACCCUUGAUGUAUCUCAAGAUCCUCUUAAUAGUAUUCCAAUGCUCUCUACCAGGAUUUGCCAUGUAUCGACUAGCUGCUCCCACUACUUGUGCAAUGUCUGGUCUUGUACAUAUCAUGGCAAACAUUAAACUUCCCACUGCUGAUGCAUACGGUACUCGAGACAUCUCCAUCCUCUCUGCUUCAUUGCUAGGAGACAUACUUGAGGAUAAUUUGAAGUUAACAGGAAGUGGGGUGGAAAUUGGCUUACAAUCUUGCAUGUUGAAGCGUCGCAAGAUCUUCUUCAAAUAAUUUUUUUGAGAAAGCCAAAUCUUCCUCUUACUUCUAUCUCGGUGAAUUUGCAUCCCUAGAAUCUUGUUUGCUGGUCCUAAGUCCUUCAUAUCAAACUCCCUAGCCAAUUGUGCCUUCAAUUCUUGGACUCGAUCUUUGUUGGGGCCUAUUACCAACAUGUCAUCCACGUACAACAACAGAAUGAUGAAAACAUCAUUUUCUUCAAACCUCUUGUAAUACGUACAAUGGUCUGAACUGAGUCUGUUGUACCCAAGGCUAAUUAUGAAGGAAUCAAAUCUCUUGUACCAACACCUCGGCGCUUGUUUGAGACCGUAUAGAGAUUUGUUCAACCUGCAAACCAAGUUCUCCUUGCCUGUUUCAGCAAAACCCUCUGGUUGGAGCAUAUAAAUUUCUUCUUCAAGUUCUCCAUGAAGAAAUGCAGUUUUCACAUCUAACUGCUCUAAGUGAAGAUCAAAUAUAGCACACAUUGCCAAGACUACUCUGAUUGUAGUAAGUCGUACCACCGAAGAAAAUAUCUCAUUGAAGUCUAUUCCUUCUUUCUGAGCAUAUCCUUUCACCACCAAUCUUGCACGAUACCGCUCCACUUGAUCAUUGCCAUCACGCUUUAUCUUGUAAACCCAUUUGUUGCCAAUGGCCUUUCUUCCUUGUGGUAGCGGAACAAGAUCCCAAGUGUUAUUCUUGUGCAGAGCUUCAAUCUCCUCUUGCAUUGCUGUCAUCCACAUAGAUACAUCUGUGCUUUUGAUAGCCUCAUGGAAAGUUGAUGGCUCUCCAUCCUCUGUUAGAAGACAAUAUGCAAUAUUGCUCUCAGUAACAUAUUCUGAGUGCCAAGCCGGUGGUCUUCUUUCACGAGUUGACCGUCGAACUUCAGGAGUUUCAGACUCUGUUUGUUCUUGUUCUUCAGGUUCUGGUGUAGCUUCAGAAGAAGUAUGAUUCUGAGUAUUUUCCAUCUGGACUGCUGUAGUCUCCUUUAGAAUGCUAUUAUGUUCUUCCAUUUGCAUUUUACCUUCUGCAAAUAUAACAUCUCUGCUGAUGACUACCUUGUGGGCAGUGGGAUCCCACAGGCGAUACCCCUUAACUCCAUCAGCAUAUCCCAAGAAUACACAUUUUCUGGAUUUUGAAUCCAGCUUGCUGACUUCUUGAGUAUUGUACAUCACGUACACAGGACUUCCAAAUAUAUGCAAUCGAGAAUAAUCAGCUGGUUUUCCAGUCCACAUCUCCAUCGGUGUCUUCAGCUCAAUUGCAGUUGACGGAGAUCGAUUUAUCACAUAACAGGCGGUAUUGACUGCUUCUGCCCAGAAUGACUUUCCUAGACCUACAGUCUUCAACAUUGCUCUUGUUCUUUCUAAUAGGGUUCUGUUCAUCCGCUCUACCACUCCAUUUUGCUGUGGAGUGUAUGUCGUUGUGAAUUGCCUUUUGAUACCUUCAUGUUGACAGAAGUUAUCAAAUUCAUCACUAGUAUAUUCUCCUCCAUUGUCAGUCCUCAAACACUUGAUCUUCUUUUCAGAUUCAAGUUCCACCCGCGCUUUGAAAGUUUUAAAGACUGCGAACACAUCUGCCUUCCUUCUAAUUGGAUACACCCAACAUCUCCUGGAGAAGUCAUCUAUGAAUGAUACAAAGUAUCUUGCUCCUCCCAAGGAUACAACCGGUGCUUGCCAAACAUCAUAGUGAAUCAGGUCUAAGAUGCAUUUGCUCUUAGUUGUUGAUGUGCCAAACUUCAACUUGUGCUGUUUGCUUGUAACACAAUGCUCACAAAAGGGUAAAGUAACCUUUGUAAGCCCAGGGAGUAACUUCUGAUCAGAGAGAACUUUCAAACCUUUCUCUGACAUGUGGCCUAGUUUUUGAUGCCACAUCAUCGUCUUCUCUUCUGCAGGACUGGCUGAUGCAAUUGAUGCUUUUGCCCCAUGAUGUGUUUCUCCCAUUAAUACAAACAUGUUUGCAACUGUCUUUCUCGCCUUUAAAACCACCAGCGCUCCUUUGACAAUUUUCAUUAUUCCAUUGUCUGUUCGGAUCUUACAGCCAAGACUAUCAAAUUGUCCUACGGACAAAAGAUUCUUCUUUAAGUCUUUCACAUGUCGCACUCCUGUAAUAGUACGAAUUAAGCCAUCAUACAUCUUCAAUUUGAUGGUGCCAAUGCCAGCAAUCUCUAAAGCAUGAUCAUUACCCAUGAACACUGAACCUUCAAAGAUGGGUUCGUAUGUAUGAAACCAAUCUCGAUUAGGAGUCAUAUGCCAUGUUGCUCCUAAAUCCAUUAACCAAACCUCAGUGAGCUCUUUUCUAUCUGUAGAGACUGUCGUUGCUUCACUAUAUAAAACCUCCCCAUCUUCUGAGGUGCUUGCAACACAUCUUUGAGGUUUUGAUGACUCUGCAGUGUUCUCUAUACCCUUUUUAAACCAACAAUCCUUUUUUAAGUGCCCUUUUCUGCCACAGUUGUAGCAUUUCACAGUCUUCUUACUUCUUGAUUUGGACCUUCCUUGCAUUUGACUCCCACUCGAGCCACGCUCCGUUGAUCUCCCUCUUGACACCAACAAUGCCUCUACUUGGUUUGAACUAUUUCUGUCUCCUUUAUUUUUGCGCCUAUUUUCUUCUUCCAAGAUGGCGGCUGCAACAUCAUCAAAGACUAAAUAGUCUGUGAGGAUAUUAUUGGUCAAGUUGAUAAUGAGCUGAUCAUACGAAUCUGGAAGACUUUGAAGUAGAAGCUCUGCACGUUCACUUUCCUCUAUUUGUUGACCCAACGUAGUGAGUUGUGAAAAUAGAGUUCUUAUUGUGUUGAUGUGGUCAGUCACCGCCGUGGUUUCUGCCAUUCGAAGGGUAUAAAGUCUCCGUUUUAAGAAAAUCUUAUUGUGCAAAGACUUGGACUCAUAUAGCUUUGUUAGAGUCUCCCAUAUCUCCUUAGCUGUUUUCUUCUCCGCCACACUUGAUAACACUUCAUCGGCUAAUGCUAAAUGUAUGUUAGCAAUAGCAUUGCCAUCCAUUUCAUUCCAUUUUGCAUUAUCAGUGAUCUCCGCGGGCCGAUCCCCAAUUGCUGCCAAGCAAUUGCCUUUCCUUAAGAUUGCUUUGAUUCUCAUUUUCCACAGUGAGAAAUUGCUCCCCUUGAACCUCUCAAUCUCGUACUUUGCUGCCAUUGUAUUCACCAAGAUCUAUUCAGCUAUCACCGUUUCACAGAUCUGUAACGUAUAUAGAAAUAGUAUCGUGUGAAUAAUACUUCACUAAGUAAGUUCCCAGGAAAGAUUGGAGAGGUCACAAACGGUCCCGCUUAAAACCCAAUCUCCUUAGACAGAACUUCCUAGACUGUAUUUAAUCACCGCACUGACUUUCUAUAUACGCCAACAGUAACGUAUGUGAACAGUACCGUAUGGAUGAAUAGUGUCGUAUAGGUGAAUAGUGCCGUAGACGUGAAUAGUAACCGUAUACACGAAUAACUAUUGUGUAUUAACAACACCAACCAGGAAGCUCUAAUACCACUGUUAGGAUACUGGCAUGCAAACCCGACAAGAUAAAAGGCAAAGGAUAGGAUAAAAUGAUAAAUUAGACACACAAGAAUUUACGUGGUUCACCCAAUUUGGCUACGUCCACGGACAAGUAUAGAAGGAUUUUACUAAGUAAUGUGGGAAUUACAACCUCUCUUCAACAAUAGGAGAACAACUGAAAUCUCUCAAUUACUAGAAGAAAACACCUCACUUACUCUCUCAUAAAUACCUCACAACUUUGUGGGAUUACUCUCUCUUCACUCUCUCUACUUGCUCUCAAGUUUCUCUCUUGUGGUGUGCAUCUAAUGCUUGGAUGCAUUGCCUAUUUAUAGGCAAACAUCCAUGCAAGAGACAAGGGGCACCAAUUGGUGCUGCAAGUGGCACCGAAUUGGUGCCCAACAUUGUUGACUUUGCCAACAAUGCUAGUUGGCUUCACAUAUAUUUCUAGCCAUAGCAAUUAGAUUUCAAUUGUCAGAAAAUACAAAUACCAUACCGUAGAAAAGAAAUUGUUAACUUUUUGUCUAGUCUAUCCAAGUCCUUGUAUUUUUAUCCCAUCUAAAGAAGGUGUAUAUAUAUAACCCAUAGACUGUUAGCAUAUUUAAAAUAUACAACCUUUCAUAUAUAACAUUUCAGGGGGGAAUUAAUUAAUGUGGAAAAAUUUAUUAUUUAAUUAUUAAUGAAUAAUGGGGCAUAAAAUAAUAUUUUAAUUAAAAAAUUAAAACAUCACUAACAUUAUCUCACUACAUUUAAUAAAUAUGCCAGUUCAAUAUUGAUACGUCCUCAAAAUUUUUCUCAUAGAUACAAUAUCUUGUAUACAAAAAACAAAAGAGUUUAAAUUGCAUGAAUCGUGCUGAUAACUCUUUGGAAGCAAGUACUACCUUCCACGUAUUAUAACGCAACUUUGUUUUUUGAACCAGAACCACAAGUUGUAUAUAUUUUUAUGAAUGAACUUCCAAAUAUCCUUUCAGGGUCACAAAUAAAAAUUCAAAUAUAUAUUAUCAUUCUCUAAAUUUCAUGUAUACAGCUAAAUAAGAGAAGACAAAUAUAAAAUUAAUGGAGUCUUUUAGAUAGAUAAAAUGCAAUAUAAAUACAAAUGAGUAUCUCAAUUACAUAAAAUCUACAUUAUAGAAUUGCUCAACAUGUCUUUUAUAAGCAAUAGAUGGUAAAUCUUUUAUCAAUGAAUUAAUAAUCAUCAAUCCAGUGUUGAUGUGUUCAACAACCACUUUAUUUGCUUUGACAUGUUCUCGAAUAGCUAGAUAUUUAAUGUUGAUGUGCUUAUUGCAACUUUUAUGUUAGUGAAUAUGAUUUGUAGUUAAUCGGUUGAUUAUACAUAGUAUUGAUUUUAUUCAUGUAAAAUAUAUUUAUUAUUAAUAAAGACUUUCUUUAUCUUUAUUUUUAAUUUUUAUUUAUAUUUGAUUAAUAAAUCUAGAGUAAAGAUAAAGUCUAUGGAACAAAAAUACUUUGCAUAAGAAAUUAUAAAAUUGUUAUAAUUAUGAGAUUUUUAUUGCAUCAAAGCAUUGUUCCUAAAUGUUCAUGGUCAAUGUUUUAUUUGUUGGGUCCUCGAAUAUCAUACACACAGUGGAAACUAUGAAACAAAAUUAUUCGGGAAUCCCUAAGAUCCUGUUAGAUAGAUCUAGAAUUGUUUAGGAAUUUAUUCCUGAAGAUAUGAUCUUCUUCGACUUUGAAUAAUUUUUUAAAAGCUGGGUUAUCGCAAACUACAAGUCAUCUAAUUGUCCGGCUUCCAACAGUAAUUCACACAAAUCACUCGUGAGAAAACUCAUAAAUCCCUAUUUAGGAGAGAUGAAUUGUUAAGCUUAGAGUGCUAGCUCUAAUAUUGUGUUCACGUAGUUUUUCUGUCUAACAAAAAACCAUAUUUUUUUUCACUUAUAAAAUAAUAGGCUUAGCUUUAUAUUUAUAGGGAAUCCUUAAAAAUCCUAUAAAUAAUAAAAUAUAUAUUUGCCCCUUAAAUAAUAUCCAUUUAUUAUUUAAAGAUAAUUAUAGAAAUUAACUCAAUUAAAUCCUUACUUGAUUUUUAUAAGUCUAGAAAUAUAAUCUUUGUAUUAAUUAUAAUUUAGUCCUUAAUUUCUAGAACAUAUUUUAAUCAAGUCAUACUUAAUUAAAUCAUCCCAAUUUAAUUUUUGAUUAAUGAUUCUUAAUGCAUGUGACUCAUUAAGUUCCUAAUAUGUUGGCCUAAAUAUAAUUUAUAAUUCUAAUUAAAUAGAAUUAAAUAAUUUAAUUUAUUAUUAAUUCAACAAUUGAUUAAUUUAUUUUGAAGAUUAGGUAUCGUCUAGCAACACGUCAUGAACCCCUAAAUAUUAGAAAAGUCAUUAGUAGUUUGACUUAACCUUUUAGUGAUCAAUUUCUCAGUAUAAUAAAUAUCAUUUCAUCAAUAAUGUUCUGAUUUAAUAUUAAAGCAUAAAGUAUAUAUGUGAUGUUAAAUCAUGCAUAUUCUCUAUAUAAUAGUCAUUGAUCAUUUGAAUAAGAUUUGAAACUCUUUUCAAAUCUCAUUACACAUUGGCCAAGAAUAAUUCUCAGUCAAUACUAUUUGAGAAUAGAUGAAACAUUUUUCUUAAUUCACCUAGGGUGAUGAAUCAUUUAUUGAUCACUUAAGUACCUUCAUAUAGUUCAUGCUAUACCCAAUUUCUGCUCUUUCGUUACCUUGAUUAAGAUAACAUGUAACAGGAUCAAAGUAUAACAUUCUUUAUAUAAGAUGACUUUGCGAUCUCAAGUUUAAGGAUCACUUACACAACUAUCGUGUGAGCCUUUUCAUAGACAUAAGUGAUCUUUCCAUAUGAAAUUCUCAUGCAAGUUAAUUUAGUGUACAUGUCUUAUGAUAAGCACCUACAUAUUAAUUAUAGGUAUCCCUUAUACCUCAGCUUAUGCUCUUAUUUUGGAGUCGUUGUUUGUUAGAUAUAAAAAACUAUAUAGUCACAAAAUAAAGAGCUAGUACUCCAAGCAAAACAAUUCCUCUCUCCUAAAUAGGAUUUUAGGAGAUUUCUCACUAGUGGUUCGUGUGGAUUAUCAUUGGAGGCCAGACAAUUGGAUGACUUGUGAUUUAUGACAAUUCAGCCUUUAAAUAAUUAUUCAAAGCCGAAGAAGAUCAUAUCUUCAGGUAAUAAAUUUCUAAACAACUUUAGAUCUGUCUAACAGGAUUCUAGGGACUCCUAAAUAAUUUUUUUUUAUUGUUUCUACUACGUGUAUGACAUUCAGAAAUCUAACAAGUUCCUAACUCUGUUGAACUUUCCUAUAACACCACACCCUACUAGCAAGAUAUUGUUCACUUUGGCCCAUAGACCUCACGGAUUUGUUCUUGGCAGCCACGUAUGACCCCAAAAUGCGUUUUAUUAGUCAAGGUGAACAUGCUCAUAUAAGCCCCCCAAGUCCUCACCCGUUGAUAUAAGAUAUUACAAUCCACCCUUCUUAAAGAGCUCGACGACCCCAUAGACACCACCAGAUAACCAAUGAAGGAAAUAAACAUAAUUUUUUUUUGUUGACAAAGCAAAAAAAAAUAAUACCAUAUGUGCGAAACAAAGUGGCUGGAAUGGAACUGGAAAGUUUUGGCCAGAAUCUAAGUGGAAUUUUUGGAAUGAAUUGAGAUUCUAAGCUAGAUGAAAUUUUUUAUGGUUGGUUUUAUUUUUUAAAACUAGAAUAAGAUAUAGCGGACAUUUCAGACAACAUGUAACGGAAUUUACAACUUUUAUCUUUACCCAAAAUUGUAAUAGCUAGAAAUUCGCACUCUUGUGUAGUCAAUUAUGGAGAAUAAUAUUGCGGUGUGUCCACCACUCUUGUGUAGUCAAUUAAGGGACCUACUUGUAUGGAAAUGUAAUAUGAAACGGUUUGCUCUAAAGGCAACUCAUGCAAAAGCAGCAAAUAAGAGUUCAUUAAUAUAAUUACCGUGUUUCCAACACUCACUACUCUUGUUUAGUCUUCUUAUAUUUAAAAACACCCAGUAAAAACACCCAGCUAAGGAUGUUUCACAAUGCUUCUCCCAGCAGUGAGAAAGAUCAAUAAUGACUUUGAUUUCGUCUUUAAAUGUGUACACGUUCACCCAUACUGUCAGUCAUCAGCAAAGGGACCUUCUUGUAUGGAAAUAUUUGCAAUGCAAUAUUCAACACUGUAAGAGUCAACUCUUACCGUAUGGUUUCCAAAGCAAAUGUUAUGGAACAUGUUUUGAAGACUCGCAAAACAAAAAGAAAAACCUUGUUGCUGAGGGGAAGGGGAUUGCCAAGAAAUUCAAAUGACAAAUAUUGCUUUAUUAAUCUUCACGUCUCAAAGCCUUCUUCACUAUACCCACUGCUCUAAUUAACAAUCUUUACCUAAAAUUGUAAAUGAACUAUUCAGAAAUUUGCACAAAAAAUGUCAUUUAUGAAAACUAAUAUUCUCGUGUUUCCAACACUAUUGUAUAGUCAAUGAAGGGACCUGCAUGUAUGGAAAUAUAACAUGAAACGGUUUGCUCUAAAAGCAACUCAUGCAAAAGCAACGUGUUCCCAACACUCACUCUUGCUUAGGCAACGUGUUUUCACAAUUUAUACGUAGUUUUUAGAUUAAUUAAAAUAAAGACGUAAAUUGAUAAAUGAUGAUUAUUUAACAAAGACGUAACAGAUGCAACAAUUCUUGUAUACUUUCAUCUACGUUGGGUACUUAAAUCUUGAUUGGUUUGUGUAUAAAUAGUACCAUUGCAAAUCUUUAUUUCUCAUCAUUCGUUCAACACUCCAAAUUAAUAUACUUUCGAAUCCUGUAAGGCCAGCCAACAUGGGGUUUUCACCACUGUCCCUCUCUCAAUUUCUCUCUUCCAUUCUGUUUCUCUUCCAUUUUUACACAACAAUUUCUUCAUCAAAUUACUCCUCUUCAUCUCAUUUCUGUGCUCCUGACCAAAGUCUUUCUUUGCUCCAAUUCAAAGAGUCCUUUUCCAUUACUAGCUCUGCUUCAGGGCGUUGCCAGCAUCCCAAGACAGAGUCGUGGAAAGAGGGUACAGACUGCUGCUCGUGGGAUGGGGUCACUUGUGAACUGGAAACCGGGCAAGUCACUGCACUGGACCUUGCUUGCAGCAUGCUUUAUGGCACCCUCCAUUCCAAUAGCACCCUCUUCUCCCUGCAUCAUUUUCAAAAGCUCGACCUCUCUGACAAUGAUUUCCAAAGCUCCCAUAUUUCUUCUCGAUUUGGCCAGUUCUCCAAUCUGACACAUCUCAACCUAAAUUUCUCAGGCUUUGCAGGUCAAGUUCCGUCGGAAAUCUCCCAGCUCUCCAAAUUGGUUUCACUUGAUCUCUCUGGAAACUACUACCCAAGUCUAGAACCAAUUUCUUUUGACAAGCUUGUUCGAAACCUAACCCAGCUUAGAGAACUCGAUCUGAGUCGGGUAAACAUGUCAAUGGUUGCACCCAAUUCCUUGAUGAAUCUGUCUUCUUCUUUGUCAUCACUCCUACUCUAUUCGUGUGGAUUGCAAGGAAAAUUACCAUCCUCAAUGAGAAAAUUUAAGCACCUCCAGCGGUUGGAUCUUGCAGAUAACAAUCUUACAGGUCCAAUUCCAUAUGAUUUUGAGCAACUCACUGAGUUGGUUUCACUUGCUCUCUCUGGAAACGAAAACGACUAUCUAAGUCUAGAACCAAUUUCUUUUGACAAGCUUGUUCAAAAUCUAACCCAGCUUAGAGAACUCUAUCUGAACUGGGUGAACAUUUCAUUGGUUGUACCCAAUUCCUUCAUGAAUCUGUCUUCUUCUUUGUCAUCACUCACACUCUAUUCAUGUGGAUUGCAAGGAAAAUUCCCAUCCUCAGUGAGAAAAUUUAAGCACCUCCAGCACUUGGAUCUUAGAUACAGCAAUCUUACAGGUUCAAUUCCAGAUGAUCUUGG